GUCUCUGCGAAGCCGUAAGGCGAAGUAUAGGGGCUGACGCCUGCCCGGUGCUGGAAGGUUAAGAGGAGCGCUUAGCGUAAGCGAAGGUGCGAAUUGAAGCCCCAGUAAACGGCGGCCGUAACUAUAAGGUCCUAAGGUAGCGAAAUUCCUUGUCGGGUAAGUUCCGACCCGCACGAAAGGCGCAACGAUCUGGGCACUGUCUCAACGAGAGACUCGGUGAA
rnacentral:rRNA from 1 species